rfam:Deltaproteobacteria bacterium RIFCSPLOWO2_12_FTLL_60_19 rifcsplowo2_12_scaffold_8800, whole genome shotgun sequence.
UCCAUCGCGAGGUGGAAUCUGAAGGAAGCCGCAGGCAAAGCGCUGGCCUGACGAACAGAAAUCGCAUAUGAGGCGUGCAAGCUGGAUGAGGAGGCCAAUAUCUUCGAAGUCCGAUACCUGUACGGAAAGCUUGUGCGUAGAUGCGGCGGGCCUAAGCGUGAAGGUGAGAGCG